ACCACAAGAACAGAGCUCAAGUUUAUCUCUCUCCCCGGGUGGAAUUACAGUCUCCAUCAGUUAAUGCAGCAUUUCUCAACUUCGGAUAGUUGAAUCCUGGCUUUUUGAGAAAACGAAACUUACAGUAAUGCUGCUACCAGCAGUGUUGUUUUAAAAGCCUACCAAAAAGAGCAGUCACUCAAAUAGAUUGCGUAGGUAUUCAUCCUCAUCUCUCCUGCAUGCUCUGAUUACAGUGCAUUGUCAAUAUUGUUGAAAUGAUGUCACUGGCAUCUGAAUCAUGACCCCCUUUAUAACCAAAAUUACUGCAAACUGAGGCAGACAUUGCUGCAUUAUGGAUGGGCUGUGGUUUCAGUAUUUCUCUUUGCGAACAGAUGCCUUAAAAACACAAGCAAUCAGAAUAACAAAAUAUGUGGAUGCUCUGAAGGACCUGUGGUAAUCUGUGGUUUAGGAUUAAUUCCACAGUAGAUUACAGUUUUUAUUGUAUGUAAUUUAUUGCUUCAUUUUUCUUAAAGGUUUACUGAGCAAGUAGUUUGUACUUGAUUUACCUGUCAAGGUGGGUGCUCUUCAAGCUCACAACAUCCUCUGUAGGCUCUCUGAGCUGUUAUUAAAUUUUCUUUCAGACCACGGGCCACGGAUUUGAUCUCAAUCAAGGUGUUAUUAAGAGGAAGUAAUUUCCCCAUUCUGAUUCGCACUAGUAAGACUACAGUAGAUAAACAUUUAAGCUGCAGCAGGGCAAUUUUCUCACGUAAACAAGGAAUUGGAAGCAGUGGGUACGUGCCUGUUUCCAUGGGACUUUGGCUGAGGCAUACACACCAUGCCAGAGGAAAUG